UUUUUUUUUUGCUAUUUCUUUGGGCCGCUCCGGCGGCAUAUGGAGGUUUCCAGGCUAGGGGUCUAAUCAGAGCUGCAGUCUCCGGCCUACGCCAGAGCCACAGCAACGCGGGAUCCGAGCCGCGUCUACAACCUACUCCACAGCUCACGGCAACGCCGGAUCGUUAACCCACUGAGCAAGGGCAGGGACCGAACCCGCAACCUCAUGGUUCCUAGUCGGAUUCGUUAACCACUGCGCCACGACGGGAACUCCAUAAGUACUAUUCUUAUGUCUAAUUUUCAAAUGAAGACCCUGAGGGCUAAGACAUUUGCUUAAAGUCACACCAGUAGAGAAGGGCAGAGCAGAAACUUGAGAACAGGUCUUGCAGAUGACAAAAGCCAUGUUCAAUUAAGUGCUUGUCAAGUACUCAGGCUUUUGAGCUCUAGAUGGCUCACAAAGUGAACAGCCCUUUAGGAACAGGACCUUCAGGGCAGCCCAGUGAAUUUAAAAUGUCUCAUCUCCCCACAGGUGUCCAGGUAUUGUGUAUCUAAUCCAGGCUGGGCUCCCCAGGGGGGCCUGCUGAAAAAAGUCUCUGCACUCAUUAAAUGCCCACUGGGAGUGCUGCCCAGUGCUCCCCAGGACCCAUAGGCUUGCCAAGGCUGUCAACAGAUUAACCACAUUCAUACUAGAUAAAUACAAGGGUCCUGACUGGUUGGAUUGUCUUUGUUUCCUUGCCCAUAUGAUGCCAAGUCAGGAUGGGUUGGUACUAUUUCAGUGCUUUUUGUCAAAGCUGAGCUGUAGUCUUCUCACCCCCAAACACUUUAUCACUCUGCUGGAGGUUGGUGGAGUCUUUUUUGCCUCUGUACAUGGGUUUCCCUCCAUACUCUGUUCUUCUCCAUCACCGUUCUGAGGAUUAUGUAUCUGACUUACAGGGGAGGAGCAAAAAGAGGUACAGAGAAAAUAACAUGCUCCUUUGUUUCUCAAAAAAAGAAUACCAACUCAGAACCACCCUUCUUAGUAUCAAUACAGCCCUGUCACUUGGCCAAACAGAAGAGGCAGUGGGAGAUGGAUUUUACACGCAAGAGGCCUAGUUUAAGGACCUAUGACUAAAUAGUACUACGGAGCCAGGACAUAAAACUAGACCACCAGGAUUACAAAUAUAUGGCCAAAGCAGACAUUGCUGAUCAAUCACAGCACUCCUCUGAAACAGGAUCUGGCCUUUCCAAUGUUCCUCAAGACAGUGCUCUUGGCAGCCAUUACCAAUCAAUCAGAGCACACAUAAUAAAUCUUAUUUUUAAGUAUGAACUAGUCUUUGGUCUUCUUAUGGGCAGGGAUUCCACCUUAUGAAGGUAUUUACCUCCACAUAACAUAAUCUAACACGAUGUAAUCUUGAUAGCCUUCAAUGUUUGUUGAACACAUAAAUGAGUGAAAUAAUGAUUUAAAGCUGCUAUUUUGACAGAUAUGACUCAGUCCUCUUCUAGGUAAUCUAUCUUCCUUUGGCUGAGAUGGGGAAAUUUUCUAGGUACCAAAUUUGUGCUUUGUUCACAUGUUCCUCUCAUGCUGCUUGAGCUGUACAAUUUUCUACACUGCUCCCCAAAGUAGGGAUCUGUACCCUCUAUCAUAAAAAUCAAACAAGAAUCCAUUUAACUCAAGUCAUUAGACCCAUUAGAAUAACAGACACUGUGGUGGAUUUUCUCAGCCUCUGAUGACUAAGUCAUUGUUCCCAAGCCAAGGUUCUCUGCUUGACUUGUUCAUCCCUUGGGACAAAUUCUCUCCUGGGAGGCAUCUUAUGCAAAUAGCCUUCUAAGGGAACUGGCCCAUCAGCUUCUCAGAGUUUCCUAGUCAUGACUGAGUUCCCAGAGUGUAGACACAGCUUAUACCUAGUCUAUUAUUUUCUUUCUUUACCUCUACGUGUGGGAGACAUGUGUAGCAGCUAGCUAUUGCAACAUAAAAAACUAUCCCAAUAUUUAAUGGCUUGAAGUAACAAAUAUUCCUUGCUGCUCACAUGUCUACAGGUCAGCUGGGUAGUUCUGCUGCUUGGCAUUGGGCUUGGCUGAUGUAGGCAUGGCUCACUUGUAUACCUAUGUCCAAUUUGUUAAGUGACUGGGAUAGCUCAUCUAGGGUGGCCUUGGCUGGAUGAUCUGGCUCUCUUCCAAGUGUCUCUGACUUACUUCCAGCAGACUAGCCUGGACAUACUCUCCUGAGGAUGCCCAGGGCCAAUCAGGGAUAAACAGAAGUAUAGCUUUUAGACAAGAAGAGAAUGUAGCCUUCACUAGUGGGAAACAUUUGAAACAGUGCCUGGGUGUGCCACUGAUGCCCUUAUAUGAUGGGAAAAGUUUCAAAUCAGUGACAUGACUUCAGAAGGAUAUCUUGAGUUCCAAGGCCUCUAUAAAAAAUGUUCUCUGGUGGUGAGCAGGCUUUGGCCUUGGUCCUUCUGCNGUUUUCAUCAAGGAACUCAGUUGUUGAAACAAAAAUGAAGACACCCCUGCAUAGUCUAAGCUGCCUUUAAGGUCCACAGUCACUUCCUCUCUUUGUCCUGAAAGUACUUCCUUUGUAUGUACUUUCAUACAAUGAUACAGACAACUGGCUUUCUAUCAUUCCCCGUCUUUUGGCUCCAGUACCAAGCUUGGCUAGCUCGAGGUGGGCAUUCCUCCACUUGCUUGGAUUUCUACAGCAGCUAUCACCAUCAAGUGGUUUUGAUGCUAUGGGUGUCGAGAUCUGGAAGAAUCUGCUUCCAGAAGAUCAUUUCCUAUCUGGUUCAGAAACCACUUAGAAAGCCCACUGAUCAUGUCUUUCUAGAGUUUUAAUUCCCUUCACUGUCAUUACGAAAUAGUUGAGUUCUAUUGAAGAUUAGAUCAUCUUCAUGGGAUAGGCUGAAUGGCCCUGCAAGGAUGACUGAACGUAGUGAGACUGCAAAUUAGCAAUCACCUUUUGUAUGUCAUCUCAAAUGCAGAGAUCUGAGAAACGCAAUUCUUUCUCAGGCUUUUCAUUUUUUGGCAAGGUUCCUACUUCAUGGAUGAGAAGCAAGAUUUUAAAGUUUUCCGCUCCUUGAGUGAAUAGGCACAUGACAAAAACCUUAUUCCUAAUUUCCUGUACCCAUGAACAAAAUAUGAGCUAAUUCUAGUCAUCUUUCCUAUUAAUCCUGGAUGUCAAUUUAUAACCCUUCUCUAUACAACACUCCAGGUAAUCGCUCCAACUGAUUGGCACCAAUAACGAAAGUGAAAAAGAUUUAGCACCCCGGAUAAGAAGGGACCAAAGAUUCCAAGGUAGAAAUAAUGUGACCUUCUUUGGAAAUUGGGUUAUGGCAAAUGUAAUUAGUUAGCAUGAGAUUAUACAGUUAAAAUGAGGUUAUUCUGUGGUGUAUGACCUAACCCUAUAAGAUUAGUGUCCUUAUUUAAAAAAAAAAAAUCGGAUAGAGAUGCACCAGAGAGAACAAGAAGACAGAGCUGUCUAAGGCAAGGAAUGUCAAAUAUUGUGGGAAAACCACCAGAAACUAAGGAAAAGACAUGGAACUGGCCACCACAGCCCUCAGAAGGCACCAACCUGCUAACACCUUAAUCUCAGCCUUUCAGCCUCCAGACUGUGAGACAAUACACAUCUGUUAUUUAAGACUACUCAAUUUGUGGUAUGUUGUUACAGCAGACCUAGAAAACUAACACAAGGUCAGAAAGAGUCUUGCCUGUGGAGAGCAGAUCAUUUCUAUGACAGUCAAAGAGUCAGGCAAUCUUAGAACAGAAAGGCAACUUGGAGACCAGAAAGACAACUUCUCUCCCCUCUAGGCCACAAGCUGAUUUUACAAAUAAAGAAACCAAAGUCCAGAGAAGUUCCAAGACAUGACUCAAUCACAGAGGCAGCUGGGCAGACUUGAGAUAUAAUAUUAGGGUUUAUAUCUGUCACUUCCCCAUGCCCAAUUUCCAUGCACGCUUUAGUCAUUUGCUUACACAUGUAUCUCCUCUAAUUUACCAGGACACCUUGAAAGCCGGGUCUAUAGGCUUGGAAUCCAGCAUGGUGCUUCCCACAUAGCAAGUCCUCAAUAAUAUAUGCUAAUAGCUCCCGUUUCCAGGGUCUUCCAUGCAGUAACCUCCACACUGACCCAAGAAAUGGUACUUUUCCAAAAACAAUUCCUGUGCUUAGAGAGAGAACAGAAAGCCAGGCUCUCAAUGUGUCAAGCUGCGGACAGCAACUCCCAAAGGCCUGUAAGUGAUCAAGUCCAUCCACGGUGAGUCUGGGCCAAACAGCCUUCUGCUGACAGUAAUGGUGGUCCUGCUGGAAUAAGCCACAAAGAAAGGCCUACCAGACGCCCAUGAGCUCUUGGCCACUUCCCUUCAGCAGCUACAGAUUUAUCUCUCUUCCCCAGCUUGAGGGUCUUCUGUGCUUCCUAGAGGCGGGGACUAUCUAAUUUAUCUGUACAUCCUCAGUGUUGCCCAGGGUUCCGCACAUAUGGUGGCAGAUGCCCAGCGAAUGUGUAUCAGCUUGGAUCAACCUCCUCUGCCAUUGCCUGGCUGCUGAGCCCAAGGAGAAGAAAAUUUACAAGGUGUUAUUUUGCUAAAAAUAUGCCUCUGAGGGGAACCUCAUGCCUUGUUAUUUGUAACUCUUCCUUUCCAAAGCUGGAAGAGCUGUUGAAAGAAAGCAUCAUCAAAAUGAUACUUUUCAACACUUAAAAUGUCUGCCUGAGUUUGGAGAACAAAGCCUCAGUCAGUUUUGGCAGGAAGAUCUCCCACAAGGCACAUUUAUGAUGUAAAUUUUACAUUGUGCUUGGUUUCCCAUAAUAAAUGAAAGCUUAACAAAGCUUAAGAUGUGGAAUACAUCUUAAAAUAGUAAAUUCCCAAAGAUCAUGAUAUUUUUGAGUGUAUCAAAUACAUCAAAUAUAUUAAAUACAUUUAAGGGGGUGAGUCAUAGCACUCACAUCUUACUUCCAUAAUCAAUUUCGGUAUUUUUAUGGUUGAGAUGGGUUCUGAGGAACAGAACACAAUUUGUUUUUUCAUUGAACUGAUAGAAAAGCAGGGUUGGCUUUCACAGGCUUUAUUCAUGAUAGCUGUUCAAGAUCUGCUUUGACUGAAAGGAGGGAGUUGCUGGAGUGUGUUUGGUCUGGUCCCACAGUGGUGGGGCUCAAGUACAAAAAUAAAAAUGCAGCUGGGGAGUUCCCAUUGCGGUUCAGGGGAAAAAACGAAUCUGACUAGCAUCCAUGAGGAUACAGGUUCGAUCCCUAGCCUUGCUCAGUGGGUUAAGGAUCCGGUGUUGCAGUGAGCUGUGGUGUAGUUUGCAGACGUGGCUCAGAUCUGGUGUUGCUGUGGCUGUGGUGUAGGCCGGCAGUUUCCGCUCUGAUUCGACCCCUAGCCUGGGACCCUCCAUAUGCCAUGGGUGUGGCCCUAAAAAAAACAAAAAAAAAACCCAAAAAAACAAACAAAAAAAAAACCCAGCAGGGAAGUUCAUCUCCCCCUCCCUCUGCCCGCCACCUCAACCCCCAGUGCUGCACAAGGGAUUACAGUGGAUACACCAAUGGGGGUGGGUGAGAGACCCCCACAAAGUCAAAUGCACAUGGCACUGCUGGCCCAGGGCAGAAACAGCACGGCCAUGCUCCUCCCCAAGAUGCCAUGGGCUGCAUGCCCAACCACGACCCUAUCGGCAUCGGCUCUCAGGUCUCCUACUGGGAGCAGAGGUAGAAUGGAGUCUCCCUGCAUGUUGACAAGACCUGGGUAGAGGGUGGCAGCAGUCAUGGAAUGGGCACGGGGCAGAGAAGGACGGUUGAGGUCUGGGACACCAGCAGCUGCAGGUGGGGGCAGGCCCAUGAGUGAGCUGAGCUCCACUGUCCCAUCAGAGGUCACUUACAAAACACAAAUUCAAGGGUAAAUUAAGAAAUGCAAGACAGUAGUGGUAGUAUAUUAAACCCCAAGCAAGACCUUCUGAGCACCAGCCUUGGGCCACAGCUCCCAUUGUUCCGCCAUGAAUCCAGCCCCACCAGGGACAGUUACACAGAGGCUCAGUUUUUCCUAUGGGCCUUAUAAAUGUUGAGUCAUAUGCUGAGGGCGCAAUGCUGGGUAGAAUAUGCUACACAAGCGCUUAGGCAAACUAGAUUGUAAGAUCUUUGGGCGUCACGAAUUCUUUUGUUCCUCUUUCUUCCGAAGCACCUAGAAGCUUCUGACAUACAACUUGGACUAACCAACAGAACAUAGAUCACAUAUCACAAGUCACAAACUAACAUGCUGGAGAUACAAUACUCUGGGGCACAGCUGGGAAGUUGAAUUAUAGUUUUAAUCACGGCAACACAGACCUCAUUCCUAACCAAGGAGCCCAUGGAACAUGUGAGGUAGAAAGAAUAGAAGGCAUUAUUUGCAGGUGGGAAAGGGGACUGGGGAGGGACCAUUCUGAGAAGGACAUUGUUUGCCCGUUCCGAGCCUCAGCUCGCAUCACUGAUACGGAUGCAUCUAAAACAAUUUUGAUUCUCCAGGGAGAAUUAGGUAAUGAUGCGCAUUUAUAAGAAACUAUAAGGAUGGAGCCACGCCUUAAAUGUUGUGGUUAAAAGCUGGAAACCACAACCUCUCAGCUCCUUACUAUUGAGACUUCUUAAUAAUGAAAUCCCUUCCUGACUCCUUGCAUAAUUGCCUGGAAGAGGGAUCAGGAGUGGAGGCCCUUCCAUCCUGCAAGGUUCAGAUGCCCAUUGGAUGGAUACACAGGUGCCCUGCUGUUUGAAACCAGCUUCCUACUGAGUGGCUGCUGGGAAAAGUCACAAAGCCAGUGGAUGGAAAUAGCCCUGCCUGCUGGGAGAAAGAGGAUCUUGGAGCGCUUUCUUCUCAUUCUCUCACAAAUACUGAUGAAGCAUUUCUGCACCUCACGCC
rnacentral:lncRNA from 1 species